UUUGUUUUAUUAAAAAAAAAAAAAAAAAAAAAAAAAAAAAAAAAAAAAAAAAAAAAAAAAAAAAAAAAAAAAAAAAAAAAAAAAAAAAAAAAAAAAAAAAAAAAAAGCUACAACAACUUAAGUUCUAAAGCUGGACCUGGACAAAAACAAGAGAGAAAACGACAGCCAUUGCCAAAGAGCGUUGAUCUCCCUUGAAGAGAAAGGGAUCUGAACGUUAUUUUAAGAAAGAUGGAGAUGAUUUCUCAAAUCGUAGAGAAAAACCGAUGACCAUUCUCUCGUCUCUCUCGAUCGAGUAAAAACCACCUACCUAAACCUUCAUCAUCAU
rnacentral:lncRNA from 1 species